CAGCCGCCGCGGUAAUACAUAGGGUGCAAGCGUUGUCCGGAAUUAUUGGGCGUAAAGAGCUCGUAGGUCGUUUGUUACGUCGGAUGUGAAAACCUGAGGCUCAACCUCAGGCCUGCAUUCGAUACGGGCAAACUAGAGUUUGGUAGGGGAGACUGGAAUUCCUGGUGUAGCGGUGGAAUGCGCAGAUAUCAGGAGGAACACCAAUGGCGAAGGCAGGUCUCUGGGCCAAUACUGACACUGAGGAGCGAAAGUCUGGGGAGCGAACAGGAUUAGAUACCCUGGUAGUCCAGACCGUAAACGGUGGGCACUAGUUGUGGGAACCUUCCACGGUUUCUGCGACGCAGCUAACGCAUUAAGUGCCCCGCCUGGGGGGUACGAUCGCAAGAUUAAAACUCAAAUGAAUUGACGG
rnacentral:rRNA from 2 species